UAGAGAAGGGAGUUGCAAUAGUCAAGUAGAAAGGAGAUAAAAAGCAUGAAUGAGGAUUUUAGCAGAGGUGGAGCUCAGGCAGUGACACUCCUGGAUAACGUUAUGGGGGUGAUGAAAGAUGAGUUAGAAGACCCAGGAGACUGAAGAAGUUGUUCAAGAUCAAGGAGAAUGCAAAGGUUACAGAAAACAGAAAUAAAUGGAAGGGAAGUCUUAGCUGAAAAAGAUAGAAGAGAGUGAGGGAGCUGUACAAAACUCUCAGCCACUGUCUCAAACUGGAAUUAAUUUGGCCAAACGAGGAGACUGUUCUCUCAACACCUAUGGAAGAGGCUACCACAAACAAAUGCAGGUUCGCCACUUCAAACUCUGCAUGGAUAAACAAGGCCCCAGUUUGAUAACCUUCAGAGAACAGGUUUUUUUCAGAAGAAAAGGUAUUCCAUCCGAUCUCAGCAAGAAAAGGGAUUGCAAGUUACUCGGAGUAGAAAGCAGACCUGGUUCUAUUGCAUCACUCACCUCCCUCAGAGAUAAUUACUCUAACAUGCCAGCCUCUUUAAUUGGAAAGAAACCCUGUUUAUAACCCACAAAUUAUUCAUGGAGACUAAUGAUCCACCAAGAGGCAUAUUCUUCCUUUGUGCUUUGUUGGCCUCUGUAAACUCUAAAGCGUCCUGAUCUGGGUUACAACCAGCUUGCAGACUGACAGAUGCUUCCUCGCUGUGACAGCAGCAUCUCUUUGGCCCACCUACAAGUGACCAUGGACUACAACUGGAGAAUUACCACAAUGGACUAUAAUCAACAAAGCACAAGUGUACAAGACACAGCACAUUGUACAGACAACUCAAGAUGUGACAGUUCAUCAGAUUUGUCACCUAAAAAGAAUGGUUCCUGUCCUCUCCAAGCAGAAAAUGGUAGACAGGGAACAACCAAGGAAACACAUCUGAGUGAAGAAAUUAACUGCACUAAGAGGGAGAGGGAGAAAAAGUUUCAAGUCCUUGUGUCCAUUUCAGACAAUGAAGUCAGACCUCUCCAAUUCAAGACCAGGUUUGUUCUCCUGCUACCUUCAAUACACUGGAAAAAUCAUUAAAAUUUUGCUACAUUACGGUUAGUUUCUGAAUUCAGAAAAUGAAGUUUGUUACACAUUUAUCUUAAACAACUGUCAGCACUUAAUAUUUCUAUUUAGUCCAGUCCAAAAGCCUACACUUUAAUUAAGUUGACAGUUUGAUUUAAAGCAUGCCAACUACAUUUGUGAGCAAGACGCCUUUCUCAGCCUGCUCUAUUAAAUCCACACACACGAGUCCAAACUCACCCCCAUGUUGGGGUUUGGGUUUAUUAAGUAAGAAAUCAACAAUACGAUAAAGUUCAUGUCAACCAUUAUCCCAAGGUUUUCUCCCUCAGGACUGCUCAGUCCAAACCCUGUAUUUUCCCAGACAGGCACUCCUAUUUCCCUUAUAACUAGGAGGGAUUAUAAGACACUUGCACCAGUGAUUUGGCAAAAUCCAUGUAACCCUCUUCCCAGCCAGAUCAAUGCCUGCUAACAGGGUGGAGUAUUUGGGGAAAUCUCUGGCAGUAAGAUACAACUGUGGUAUGUUACAUGAUAGAAUUAUCUUUCAUAAGCCACAGGUUACAACCAGAGUUCAGGAAAUAGUGUGGUUUUCAGAACCAUCUCAUACAGAUGAAACCAAAAAUCUUUUGUGCCCUCCCAUAAAAGGUGUAUGAAAAACAAAUCCUUACUCAUCAUUGUGCCUAGGACUGCCACACUAGUUUGAUAGGGCAUUGCAGAUAAAUAUCCAGCAAUUUUAAGUCCAGACCUAAGUUUGAUUUUUCAGUAUGUACUACGGUUUUGAAAAGGCACAGUUAACAACCCACUCACUCCUGACUGUAAAUAUGGCUACCUAUUCUAAAUAUUACAGUGGUCAUUUUAUUCACUACCCAAACUCCAUGGAAGCAGCUACAAAUUUCUAUCACAUUGCCUGCACUGAGCAUUUCAAAUUUUGUCCUGGAGAGAUCAUAUAUUUUAGAGUGAGAGAUUUAGUCAUAACUGAAAAAUAAGCCAGCUUUGGUUUUAAUAUGAACAAAGGCCACCAAGUGGGUGAAUGAUGAAAUUUGCUUGCUAUUUUUGCAAUGCAGCCUUCUGCAUGCUAGGGAGAACCCUGAAACAACCUAGUCUUCUCAGGACUUCAGAUUGGGCUUGAGCCAGGAUUUCCAGAAGAGCUAGUUCUUCCUAAAGAAUUGCAGUCUCCUACAUAAGUAAACACCUUAGCACCUGCUGCUUGUUUCUGCUGCAGGAUAAUCCACCAUCUACAUUACUUCUAGGAGAAUUCUGUGCCACUGCACAUAUGCAGAAUCCAUGUCCCCUGCAGAUUUUUUUUCUCCACAGAAGAAAGUCUGCUGGAGAGGCGCUGCAGUUACACAUUUUGCCCACCAGGGGCUGCUGUGGCACCAGAAGAGAGGCCAGGCAGCCAGCAGAGAGGGAAGGGGAAGAGACUGAAUUCCUCACAGCAGGGCCAGGUGAGGAGGCACAGGACAGACAGGGCACACAGGGCUUCUGGGAGGUCACAAACUGGGGUUCAGAAGGGCUAGUGUGGAGGACAGACUGGGGCGUGAGCUCAGGAGCUAGUGGGGUGACAGCAUUGAGCCAGGGGCUGAAUGGGCAGGGGGCUGCAGGGCCACACGGGAAGCAGGGGUAGGAAGGUCCAGGGCCACAUGGGGUCCAAGGACACACAGGGACAGAGGCAGAUGUGCCUGACUGAAUGGGAGUGAUCAGGGGUCAGCCAGGACAUGCAUGGGGGAGGCUCCCCAACAAUUUCCCCCCCCCAAAAAAUCUGUUCUAUACUUCUCUCACCUACACCCAACAACCCUCCAGGUUCACUCCCAGACUCCUUCCCUCUCUCUCAGCUCCUCCGUUACCCCGACU